rnacentral:rRNA from 1 species
CUACGGGGGGCAGCAGUGAGGAAUAUUGCACAAUGGGGGGAACCCUGAUGCAGCAACGCCGCGUGGAGGAUGACGCAUUUCGGUGUGUAAACUCCUUUUAUAUGUCAAGAAAAUGACGGUAGCAUAUGAAUAAGCACCGGCUAACUCCGUGCCAGCAGCCGCGGUAAUACGGAGGGUGCAAGCGUUACUCGGAAUCACUGGGCGUAAAGGACGCGUAGGCGGGUUGGAAAGUCAGGUGUGAAAUCCUACAGCUUAACUGUAGAACUGCACUUGAAACUUCUAAUCUAGAGUAUGGGAGGGGGAGAUGGAAUUAGUGGCGUAGGGGUAACAUCCGUAGAUAUCACUAGGAAUACCUAAAGCGAAGGCGAUCUCCUGGAACAUUACUGACGCUAAGGCGUGAAAGCGUGGGGAGCAAACAGGAUUAGAUACCCCGGUAGUC